UACAGAGGUCCCAAGCGUUGUUCGGAUUUAUUGGGCGUAAAGGGUGUGUAGGCGGGUCUGUAAGUCAGUGGUGAAAUCUCCGAGCUCAACUUGGAAACUGCCAUUGAUACUAUAGAUCUUGAAUUUUGUUGAGGUAGGCGGAAUAUGUCAUGUAGCGGUGAAAUGCAUAGAUAUGACAUAGAACACCGAUUGCGAAGGCAGCUUACUAAGCAAAUAUUGACGCUGAGGCACGAAAGCGUGGGGAUCAAACAGG
rnacentral:rRNA from 1 species